rnacentral:rRNA from 1 species
CCUACGGGAGGCUGCAGUGGGGAAUAUUGCACAAUGGGCGCAAGCCUGAUGCAGCCAUGCCGCGUGUGUGAAGAAGGCCUUCGGGUUGUAAAGCACUUUCAGCGGGGAGGAAGGCGUUAAGGUUAAUAACCUUGUCGAUUGACGUUACCCGCAGAAGAAGCACCGGCUAACUCCGUGCCAGCAGCCGCGGUAAUACGGAGGGUGCAAGCGUUAAUCGGAAUUACUGGGCGUAAAGCGCACGCAGGCGGUCUGUCAAGUCGGAUGUGAAAUCCCCGGGCUCAACCUGGGAACUGCAUUCGAAACUGGCAGGCUAGAGUCUUGUGGAGGGGGGCAGAAUUCCAGGUGUAGCGGUGAAAUGCGUAGAGAUCUGGAGGAAUACCGGUGGCGAAGGCGGCCCCCUGGACAAAGACUGACGCUCAGGUGCGAAAGCGUGGGGAGCAAACCGGAUUAGAUACCCGAGUAGUC